rnacentral:rRNA from 1 species
GAUGAACGCUGGCGGCAGGCCUAAUACAUGCAAGUCGAACGGGUGGUCGCAGGACCCCUAGUGACGCACGGGUGCGUAGCGGGUAACCAACCUGCCCCGAUCUGGGGGAUAGCGCGCCGAAAGGCGGAUUAAGACCGCAUAGAACCGCAGCCUGGCAUCAGGCAAAGGGGGAAGAUUUAUUGGAUCGGGUUGGGGUUGCGGUACAUGAGCUAGUUGGCGGGGUAAGGGCGCAGCAAGGCGAGGAUGGCUAGGGAAACUGGGAGGGCGAAACCCCACACUGGGACUGAGCCACGGCCCAGACGCUGACGGGCGGCCGCAGCUCGUAAGAGUGGGCACUGGGCGAGAUCCUGACCCAUCCAUGCCGCGUGGAGGAUGAAGGGCUUCUGGGGUGUAGAAGGCUUUUCGGAGGGAAGACAAAGAUCUCGCGGGGUACACUGACGGUACCGGAGGAAUAAGCACCGGCUAACUCCGUG